AACCCUAAUUUUCACUUACCCUCUCCCACUCUAACCCAUACACACGGUCACACAAGCGCAUACACAAACACUAAACACACAAACAUGAUACAGCAGCUGGGAAAGAAAGAAAGGAAGAGAGAAAGAAAAAAGGGAAACGGGGAAGGGGGUCGCGGUGGAGUAGGAGAGGAAGAGAGGGGGAGUUGUCUGUGCCACCACCCAGCCGACAGCCCGCCGUCGCCGCUAGUCUGCCGUGGAGCCACCAUCGAGACACAGAACCACGCGAGGUGAAGGAGACGAAAACCGUCGCGCCACUGUCGCUGUCUUCGACGCAUGUGGAGUCACCGUCGCUGAUGAGCCUAGCCGCCGCCUAGUUGCGUCACCGUCAUGAAGUCCUCACCAUCGUUUUUCCCCUUUUUUGCAAAUCGUCGCCGUCAUUGGAGCAGAGAGCGCGGGAGAGAGCUUGCGGUAGGGGGGAAAGGAGAGGCGCCUCCGUGCCGCGCGAAACUGCCGCUGCCAUCGCACACUCCGCCCACGCCGCUGGUGAUGGUUGGCCGAACCUUCUUCGCCGAGAAACGCCACUGCCGUUGCCGUCGCCGAAUUCCAGUUGCCGCUGCCGCCUGAGGUGGCUGCUGGGGGCCAUCGCCAAACCGGUUUAGAGACCGCCGCUGCUUCAUUUUUGUAUUACAGCCAAAAUUCAAUUUAGCAUCCCAAAAUGGAAUGAAAAUAAAAUAACAAGGCUGGUGAGUUGAUGUCACAAACGAAGCCCAAAAGAAAACAAAGCCAAAGAAAUCAAAUGGGUGAUCUUAUGGAUAUUCGAUCCAAGCCCGUUAGUAGCAAAUUACUCCAAAUUGCUCUCACACCAAAAGCAACAUUCACUUCUGUGUUUUGGUCAGAAAUCAGAAAAAGUGAGAAGAGAGAGCUUCUUCUUUAAGCUACUCACAGAAGAAGAAAGAAAGAGAAGAUUAGACAAGAAGGGGUUGAGGUCAAAUCAGCAAAAUCAAACCAUAUCAAGCUUAAGCACAGGUUAAAGGUAAACCAAUUUUUAUUACAUGCAAGCUGCGUUCUUCUCUUCUCAAUUCUCUGCAAGUCCGAAAAUGACAUACAAGAAAAAGUUGAUUUCUGCCCUAAUUUGCUGUGUAUCUACGGUCACAAGUGAUUCUUGGGGACCAAGUAGCUUCUCAAUGGCUGAGAUCUGGUUUACCAUUGAAAGAUCCUUUUGUGUUUGUUGUCUUGAGGCUUUCGGUCAACCAAGGGAAGUCAAAAGCAAAGUUUCUACUCUGAGGAUUAAUGAGAAAAAGUGAUAUUUUGGGUUGGUGAAGCACAAUGCUCAACGAGUUGACCUAGGAAGAGCAACCAAGCAACAUGCAAGGAGAUAAAAGAGGUUUGCUGUUCAUUCAGAAGCUAAGGAGAGAUAACCCAGUGUAUUGAGGUUUUGUUCGGUGAAGAAGUUCUUUGAAGAAGUUCCUCUACUUGGACAGUGUUUUCUUUCAAAGAAGCAUUCUUCCAAAAAUAAAGAACUGAAUCAGAGAUAUGCUAAUCUGGUUUAUCACAUAGCAAAGGGGUUGUUGAUGAAGUCAAUCUCCUUCAUGUUAUUGCAGAUUGUAUUUUACUUUUCAAUAUUUAUCUUUUUGUAAUUUUUUGAGUGAAAAGGCAUAUUGAGAGAACUCAAGUAAAAACUAUAAGUGAAAAAGGCUGACAGAUACACUUAAGAGAAAAACCUAUAAUUAUUUUUAGAUUUCUUUAGGUAUGUCAGUGUCUUGUAUUUAGUACUUGUGAGGUAUUCCUUUUUUAGUUGGGUUAGCACUAAAAGUGAAGAGUUAGAUAUUUACAUAGCCAAUGUCAAGUUAGGUUUAGGGGUGUU